AGUGCCUUCUAGUUUUACAAUUGGAGGUACAGCUAACAUAUCGUGCCUUCCAGGAUAUCAGCGAACAGGGGCAGCAGCAAUCACCUGUGGCACUAAUGGACACUGGCCUACCGCGGAUUCUCUUCCAUCAUGCAUUCGAGUCUCUUGUUCAUUUUUGACACAUCCAAGAAAUGGUUCGGUGUCUCCCGGAGAUGACAGUUUCAACGCAAUUCGAAACUUCACUUGUAAUGAAGGAUUCAAAUUGGUUGGUGUCGCGACAAUUACAUGUCUUCUGCAAGGAUUUUGGUCUGCACCUCAACCAACUUGCCAACCUCUACAAAUAUGCCCAGUCCUGCAUUUCGAGAACGGAAUUACUCCAGCAACAAACACAAGAACUGGUAAUGUUGUCAAAGUUGAAUGCAAAAUUGGAUACCAAAUCAACGGUAGUAGCUCCAUUAUCUGUCUCUCGAAUGGACAAUGGUCAGAGACUCCACAUUGUACUGGUAAUCCAACAACUAGUGCGGGGAAAGAGACUACCUGGCUUGGACAAGCAAGUAGUCAAGCCAUGAUUAUAGUGGUCUCAGUGCUGAGUUUGAUUCUGUUACUCAUCCUCAUUACUUGGGCUCGCAGCUCAUCAAAUAAUGACAACUUACCAGCCACCAUCACCGUUCGUCGACCCAACGAAGACGCCAAUCGAUACCAAAAUCAAUGGAAGGUUGGCAACCCCUCUAUCGCCUUGAUCACCGACACAAAAAGCAUUGUGGAUAGUGAAAACACUUACGACAAUGACAAAGAUGAUACGACGUACGAUUCGGAACUACCACAAUGCCAAAAAUUAAGGAAGAUGGCCAACUCCUCUGGAGCUCUGAACAUAGAUGCAAAAAGCAUUGUGGAUAAUGAAGACACUUACGACAAUGACCAAGAUGAUAGGACGUACGAAUCGGAACUACCACAAUGCCAAAAACAAAGGAAGAUUGCCAACUCCUCUGUCUCCCUGAUCAUUGACACAAAUAGCGCUGUGGAUAGUGAAGAUACCUACGACAAUGACCAACCUGAUAGGAAGUACGAAUCGGAAGUACCGCAUAGAACGAUCAGCUCAUCAGACGUCGCAGAACGGAGUGAAACAUCGCCCAUGCUGUAUGUUGAGUUGUGCCCUGACCGGGAAGGAAAGCAGGUCGAGAAGCAGGUGUCAUUCCAUAGUCUGGGGGAUGCUUUCUCGGAAUUGGGUGCAGACAAGUCUUGUGUUGUUUCUCCUACGAUCAAUGACAGUGAUCUUUAUCAGGCGCCAGGGGACGUGGCUGGGGCAUUUAACAACCAAUUGUACUCGGCCCCAGGAGACUUGAUGGAGGCAUAUAACCCUGAGAAUGUGACAGAAACCAGUUGACACGGCGAAUGAAUCUAUAAGCUCACGCACUUGCAUGUCGUACGAUGACUAGGAAAUACUCCCAGGAUGAUGCACAUUAUUUAGCUAGCACGUUUUAAACGUGUUUGACAUAUUUUAGGAUACAUGCAUAUGUAGACACAGGCGCUUAAAGUCCGACUGCCUUUACAGUAAUUGUUUUUUGUUUUUUUGAAACUCACACUAGCGAUGAUCACUUGCCUGGAUGCUGCUCGAGCUCUUCUUAGGCAGACGCCGAGACCCGAAGGUCGGCUGAGCAGCAGGGCCCCGCCACCACUGUCCGCAUAUAUUCCGGAGCAUGGUGGACUUAUUAUUAUUUUUGUUAUACACAUUCCCGCAGCAGCGUCAACCAAGCAGUUAUGCUUGAUCCACACGUUCGCUUAUG